CCCUUAGAUGUUCGGGGCCGCACGCGCGCUACACUGAAGGAAUCAGCGUGCCGUCGUCCUGGCCCGGAAGGGCCGGGCAACCCGUUGAACCUCCUUCGUGCUAGGGAUCGGGGCUUGCAAUUCUUGCCCGUGAACGAGGAAUUCCCAGUAAGCGCGAGUCAUCAGCUCGUGCUGAUUACGUCCCUGCCCUUUGUACACACCGCCCGUCGCUGCAACUGAUUGGGUGACCUGGUGAACAUCUUGGACCGGCCCACUCAAUUUCGAGAGGACUGGAAAAGGCCGUAAAUCAGGUACAUCUAGAAAUUGCAAGUCGUAACA
rnacentral:rRNA from 1 species